rnacentral:rRNA from 1 species
AUUGAACGCUGGCGGCAUGCUUUACACAUGCAAGUCGGACGGCAGCACAGAGAAGCUUGCUUCUUGGGUGGCGAGUGGCGAACGGGUGAGUAACAUAUCGGAACGUACCGAGCAGUGGGGGAUAACUAAUCGAAAGAUUAGCUAGUACCGCAUAUCUUCUGAGGAAGAAAGCAGGGGACCAUUUGGCCUUGCGCUGUUUGAGCGGCCGAUAUCUGAUUAGCUAGUUGGUGGGGUAAAGGCCUACCAAGGCGACGAUCAGUAGCGGGUCUGAGAGGAUGAUCCGCCACACUGGGACUGAGACACGGCCCAGACUCCUACGGGAGGCAGCAGUGGGGAAUUUUGGACAAUGGGCGCAAGCCUGAUCCAGCCAUGCCGCGUGUCUGAAGAAGGCCUUCGGGUUGUAAAGGACUUUUGUCAGGGAAGAAAAGGGCGGGGUUAAUACCCCUGUCUGAUGACGGUACCUGAAGAAUAAGCACCGGCUAACUACGUG